UACGUAGGGGGCUAGCGUUGUCCGGAAUCAUUGGGCGUAAAGCGCGCGUAGGCGGCCCGGUAAGUCCGCUGUGAAAGUCAAAGGCUCAACCUUUGAAUGUCAGCGGAUACUGCCGGGCUAGAGUCCGGAAGAGGCGAGUGGAAUUCCUGGUGUAGCGGUGAAAUGCGCAGAUAUCAGGAAGAACACCAAUGGCGAAGGCAGCUCUCUGGGACGGUACUGACGCUGAGACGCGAAAGCGUGGGGAGCGAACAGG
rnacentral:rRNA from 1 species